rnacentral:rRNA from 1 species
UACGUAGGGUGCGAGCGUUGUCCGGAAUUAUUGGGCGUAAAGAGCUCGUAGGCGGUGUGUCACGUCGGCCGUGAAAACCUGCAGCUUAACUGUGGGCGUGCGGUCGAUACGGGCAUCACUGGAGUUCGGCAGGGGAGACUGGAAUUCCUGGUGUAGCGGUGAAAUGCGCAGAUAUCAGGAGGAACACCGGUGGCGAAGGCGGGGUCUCUGGGCCGUAA